UACGUAGGGUGCAAGCGUUGUCCGGAAUUAUUGGGCGUGAAGAGCUCGUAGGCGGUUUGUCGCGUCUGCCGUGAAAGUCCGGGGCUCAACUCCGGAUCUGCGGUGGGUACGGGGCAGACUAGAGUGAUGUAGGGGGAGACUGGAAUUCCUGGUGUAGCGGUGAAAUGCGCAGAUAUCAGGAGGAACACCGGUGGCGAAGGCGGGUCUCUGGGCCGAAACUGACGCUGAGGAGCGAAAGCGUGGGGAGCAACAGG
rnacentral:rRNA from 1 species